UCGGGAAUUUUGUGCAAUGGGCGAAAGCCUGACACAGCAACGCCGCGUGAAGGAUGAAGUCCCUCGGGAUGUAAACUUCGUAAGAAUAGGAAGAAUAAAUGACGGUACUAUUUGUAAGGUCCGGCUAACUACGUGCCAGCAGCCGCGGUAAUACGUAGGGACCAAGCGUUGUUCGGAUUUACUGGGCGUAAAGGGCGCGUAGGCGGCGUGGUAAGUCAUCUGUGAAAUCUCCGAGCUUAACUCGGAACGGUCAGAUGAUACUGCUGUGCUAGAGUACAGAAAGGGCAAUCGGAAUUCUUGGUGUAGCGGUGAAAUGCGUAGAUAUCAAGAGGAACACCUGAGGUGAAGACGGGUUGCUGGGCUGACACUGACGCUGAGGCGCGAAAGCCAGGGGAGCAAACGGGAUUAGAUACCCAAGUAGUCCCUGAGCGGGCUGGCAAGGCGCAU
rnacentral:rRNA from 1 species